GAUGAACGCUGGCGGCGUGCCUAAUACAUGCAAGUCGAGCGAACAGACGAGGAGCUUGCUCCUUCGACGUUAGCGGCGGACGGGUGAGUAACACGUAGGUAACCUACCUAUAAGACUGGGAUAACUUCGGGAAACCGGAGCUAAUACCGGAUAAUAUUUCGAACCGCAUGGUUCGAUAGUGAAAGAUGGCUUUGCUAUCACUUAUAGAUGGACCUGCGCCGUAUUAGCUAGUUGGUAAGGUAACGGCUUACCAAGGCAACGAUACGUAGCCGGCCUGAGAGGGUGAUCGGCCACACUGGAACUGAGACACGGUCCAGACUCCUACGGGAGGCAGCAGUAGGGAAUUUUCCGCAAUGGGCGAAAGCCUGACGGAGCAACGCCGCGUGAGUGAUGAAGGUCUUCGGAUCGUAAAACUCUGUUAUUAGGGAAGAACAAACGUGUAAGUAACUGUGCACGUCUUGACGGUACCUAAUCAGAAAGCCACGGCUAACUACGUG
rnacentral:rRNA from 1 species